rnacentral:misc_RNA from 1 species
GAUGAAGAACGCAGCGAACUGCGAUAAGUAAUGUGAAUUGCAGAAUUCAGUGAAUCAUCGAGUCUUUGAACGCACAUUGCGCCCGCCAGUAUUCUGGCGGGCAUGCCUGUUCGAGCGUCAUUUCAACCAUCAAGCCCCCGGCUUGUGUUGGGGACCUGCGGCUGCCGCAGGCCCUGAAAACCAGUGGCGGGCUCGCUAGUCACUCCGAGCGUAGUAAUACAUCUCGCUCAGGGCGUGCUGCGGGUUCCGGCCGUUAAAAAGCCUUAUUUACCCAAGGUUGACCUCGGAUCAGGUAGGAAGACCCGCUGAACUUAAGCAUAUCAAUAAGCGGAGGA